rnacentral:rRNA from 1 species
AUUCCAGCUCCAAUAGCGUAUAUUAAAGUUGUUGCAGUUAAAAAGCUCGUAGUUGAACUUCUGACAGGAGUGACCUGGCCUUUGGAUGAACUUCCAUUGUUUUGCUGUGUGUUUAUCUCUAGUCAUCCUCUCUAAUUUAAUUUAAAAUUAGAGUCUUUUACUGUUAGCAAAAUAGAGUGUUCCAAGCAAAGCGUAGUUUUGAAUACAUUAGAAUGGAAUAAUAAGAUAGGACCUCGGUGCUAUUUUGUUGGUUUGCACACCAAGGUAAUGAUUAACAGGGACAGUUGGGGGUAUUCGUAUUUAAUUGUCAGAGGUGAAAUUCUUGGAUUUAUGAAAGACGAACUACUGCGAGAGCAUUUACCAAGGAUGUUUUCAUCA